UUUGGUGUGUUCAUUUGCUGCUGCAAGCUCCUUUGCAAUUCGCUCUGCCUCUUCACGUCGCUUCUUUUCUUCCUCCUCUAUCCUCCGUUCUUCUGCUGCAAUGGGUUUCAGAUAAUUUUAAUAAGAGGGGAAACCUGCACAGGAGGAACCAUUUUGCUUUCUACCCGC